rnacentral:lncRNA from 1 species
AUGGCGAAGGCCAAGGUAGUGAUGUUGGCUGAGGAUCUCCUGACAGUGGCACCCACCCUGACAAACCAAAGCAGGCAAACCAGACUUGGAAGAAGCCCACACAGGCGAGAGUGGGAGCAGAAUUACUUUGAAUUCCGAGCUUGGGAACGGGAGAAUCACGAGCGUAACUCUGAACAGAUGAAAACUGACCAUCUUGGACAAUGAAACGAAGAAGCAGCCAGAGAGACGCCAGAAUUUAGCGCGUGCAACUGCAGCGCAAGCGCCGCCGGCAAGGCCCUCUCAAAGUCAUCUUGCAGAUAGCUGUCCUGGGUCCGCGUGGUGGCAACUCAUUAAAGUCACUGUGGAAGGUUUGCCCCUUCUUGAGACAGAGAAAAAAAAAAGCUUCACGAUGGGGUAUUCCAAUUCCCAGCAUAGAGCCAAGAGUCAAGACAAGUAGCCCCAAGAGGAAUGCGAGUCAGAGAGCCUUUCUUCUUUCUUCUUUUCUUUGCCAAACGAAAUCUAAUACUAUCUGGCUGCAAAAAUAUAUAUCACCGGCUCUGAGUCUGAAAGAUUAACAUUCGGAUACGUAGGAAAUGUAAUCUGCAUGGCUAAUUGAUUCUCAGCGUAUCAGUUUAAAGGAUAAAGAUCGAUAUCUGCAUAUGAUGGAUAUUGUAUUAAUAGGGACAUAAAUAAAGGCCGAAGAGUCGUUACCGAAACCUUUGAA